AGUGAACGCUGGCGGUAGGCCUAACACAUGCAAGUCGAACGGCAGCACAGUAAGAGCUUGCUCUUACGGGUGGCGAGUGGCGGACGGGUGAGGAAUACAUCGGAAUCUACUUUUUCGUGGGGGAUAACGUAGGGAAACUUACGCUAAUACCGCAUACGACCUACGGGUGAAAGCAGGGGAUCUUCGGACCUUGCGCGAUUGAAUGAGCCGAUGUCGGAUUAGCUAGUUGGCGGGGUAAAGGCCCACCAAGGCGACGAUCCGUAGCUGGUCUGGGAGGAUGAUCAGCCACACUGGAACUGAGACACGGUCCAGACUCCUACGGGAGGCAGCAGUGGGGAAUAUUGGACGAUGGGCGCAAGCCUGAUCAAGCCAUACCGCGUGGGUGAAGAGGGCCUUCGGGUUGUAAAGCCCUUUUGUUGGGAAAGAAAAGCAGCAGGUUAAUACCCCGCUGUUCUGACGGUACCCAAAGAAUAAGCACCGGCUAACUUCG
rnacentral:rRNA from 1 species